GGAUUGCCCUAGUAACGGCGAGUGAAGCGGCAACAGCUCAAAUUUGAAAUCUGGCUCUUUCAGAGUCCGAGUUGUAAUUUGCAGAGGGCGCUUUGGCUUUGGCAGCGGUCCAAGUUCCUUGGAACAGGACGUCACAGAGGGUGAGAAUCCCGUACGUGGUCGCUAGCUAUUGCCGUGUAAAGCCCCUUCGACGAGUCGAGUUGUUUGGGAAUGCAGCUCUAAAUGGGAGGUAAAUUUCUUCUAAAGCUAAAUAUUGGCCAGAGACCGAUAGCGCACAAGUAGAGUGAUCGAAAGAUGAAAAGCACUUUGGAAAGAGAGUCAAACAGCACGUGAAAUUGUUGAAAGGGAAGCGCUUGCAGCCAGACUUGCUUGCAGUUGCUCAUCCGGGCUUUUGCCCGGUGCACUCUUCUGCAGGCAGGCCAGCAUCAGUUUGGGCGGUGGGAUAAAGGUCUCUGACACGUACCACCUUUCGGGGUGAACAUAUAGGGGAGAUGACAUACCACCAGCCUGGACUGAGGUCCGCGCAUCUGCUAGGAUGCUGGCGUAAUGGCUGUAAGCGGCCCGUCUUGAAACACGGACCAAGGAGUCUAACAUCUAUGCGAGUGUUUGGGUGUCAAGCCCGAACGCGUAAUGAAAGUGAACGGAGGUGGGAACCCGCAAGGGUGCACCAUCGACCGAUCCUGAAGUUUACGGAAGGAUUUGAGUAAGAGCAUGGCUGUUGGGACCCGAAAGAUGGUGAACUAUGCUUGAAUAGGGUGAAGCCAGAGGAAACUCUGGUGGAGGCUCGCAGCGGUUCUGACGUGCAAAUCGAUCGUCAAAUUUGGGCAUAGGGGCGA
rnacentral:rRNA from 1 species